rnacentral:lncRNA from 1 species
CUUUGUUUAGUCGAUUUUAUAUUGAGUGUUUUUACUCGUUGCAUGUUUUUACUAAGUCGUGGGGAUUAGAGGGGCAGUAGACAAACUCUUCCUAGACCUAGACCAAGGAUUCUCUAGAUCUAUCCACUAGUUUCACUCUACCAUCUGAGAUUCACUCGUCAAUUCCAAAUCAAUCCAAGGUUAUCACCAUUUAUCAUAAAACCACCUACAUCAUAAACGUCGUGCUAUGGACAUUUGUAAACACACUUUGUCAAAACCGUCGAACCAAGAUCGUUCCAUCAUCGAAGCAUCUACAUUUAAUAACUAAUGUUUAACUCAAGAACAAUUUGUGUCAAUCACCACAAUGUUUUUCCAGUUCCAUUGAGGACCGUUACCAACCAAUAUCAACUCUUCAUCAACUAACAUUCAAGCUUCGUUCAACCAUUCGCCAAUUUCAUCUAUAGAUUCAAGUUCAUCGAAAAUCGUUGCCAACUAUAAAAACAUAUCUUUAUCAACUAACAUUUAACUCAAAGACAUUUGUGUUCAUCAUUUCAACAUAAUUCAAGAUCAUAAUUCUAAUCAUCAACUAUCAGGUCAUCCAAUCGUCGGAUCAUUUAACAAACAUCUAUUGUAUGAUCAUUAUCAAUGUUACUCUAAUCAACAUUGACAUCUAGCUGUUGAUUGUUGCAAUAUGUCGUCCAAUUAGCGAUCAUUUUACAUGUAACUCGAGUCUCGAGGUGUUGUCAACUAUACUCAGAAGUCAUUAAAUACCAUUAUUUGUCGUAGUCGUCACAACUUUCUAAUGUUUAUGUUAUAGUGUGACCGCACCGGGA